GACGAACGCUGGCGGCGUGCUUAACACAUGCAAGUCGAACGGAAAGGCCCUGCUUUUGUGGGGUGCUCGAGUGGCGAACGGGUGAGUAACACGUGAGUAACCUGCCCUUGACUUUGGGAUAACUUCAGGAAACUGGGGCUAAUACCGGAUAGGAGCUCCUGCUGCAUGGUGGGGGUUGGAAAGUUUCGGCGGUUGGGGAUGGACUCGCGGCUUAUCAGCUUGUUGGUGGGGUAGUGGCUUACCAAGGCUUUGACGGGUAGCCGGCCUGAGAGGGUGACCGGCCACAUUGGGACUGAGAUACGGACCAGAAGCCUACGGGAGGCAGCAGUGGGGAAUAUUGCGCAAUGGGCGGAAGCCUGAUGCAGCAACGCCGCGUGCGGGAUGACGGCCUUCGGGUUGUAAACCGCUGUCGCCUGUGACGAAGCGUGAGUGACGGUAAUGGGUAAAGAAGCACCGGCUAACUACGUG
rnacentral:rRNA from 1 species